rnacentral:misc_RNA from 1 species
UCCCCGUUGGCCGGGGCAGUCUCGCCUGAAAAAUACAACAGACGACAAGGGUUGCGCUCGUUGCGGGACUUAACCCAACAUCUCACGACACGAGCUGACGACGGCCAUGCAGCACCUGUCACUGGAUUCCCGAAGGCACAUCCGGCUUUCACCGGACUUCCCAGGAUGUCAAGCCUCGGUAAGGUUCUUCGCGUAUCUUCGAAUUAAACCACAUGCUCCACCGCUUGUGCGGGUCCCCGUCAAUUCCUUUGAGUUUUAAGCUUGCGCUCGUACUCCCCAGGCGGGAUGCUUAACGCGUUAGCUUCUCAGCCCAAGGGGUCGAUACCUCGAACUAAUAGCAUCCAUCGUUUACGGCGUGGACUAC